GAUAAAACGAUAAGGUGCGAAUAGGAUUGCUCCCUCACCGUCCCUUAGAACCAUACCAGCAGCCACAGAACCGUCGUCCUUCUGGAAGGAACCAUCAAAAGAAAGGGCCACAGGCCCAGCCGCCAGGGCCGGCCAUGGAUAUGCGGGGGAUCUGUCAACUCUCGCCGCGGAGAUGAUUUUAUGGGCAGGAGACAACCAAUCGAGAGAGUAGCACAAGCCCGAGCUUGAACCGGGCAUGUGGUUGGCCUUGUCGUGUCCUAGUGAGAUCAUUGGGAUCUCGCUGGAGACUAGGCCGACGUGGCUCACCACGGCGUCACUGGCAUAGGAGAGCAUGCGGAUUCACAUACUAGGAGGAGGCUUUUUGGUUUUGACCGUCGCUCAGAUUACACAGUUGCCAAGCAGAGCAAGUCAUCCUCGCUAGAGGGAAGAAAUUGAUUAGAGAAGCAGAUGGAGGAAGCACGAGGAAGAAGAAGAACAAAGCCUAUCGAUGAGAGUAAAAAGAUGGCCGACAAUACAAUGGCCCGGGUGGAAUUGACUUCUCGCUCAGAAAAUUUCAGGCCGGUGUGCCCUAGGCACUCCCGUUUACGGCUCCUUUGAUUCAAAGGAUUUUUCAUAGGAAUUUUGAAGGAUUAUAAUCCUUAGGAAUUUUUUGUAUGUUGGUUAUUUGGUUCGUAGGAUUGAAUCCUAUAUCUUUACAAAAAAAUUUUUGUACUACUUCCCUUAUGAUUUCUAGCAUCGACACAAAAUCUCUUUAAAAGAAUCCUUUGUUUCUUCUGUAAUGCAAUCAAAUAAUCCAAAAUCUUGUAGGAUUGAGAUGA